GGGGAUGUGGUUCAGUUGGUAGAAUGCUUGCCUCGUGUGUACAAGGCCCUGGGUUCAAUUCCCAGCACCA
rnacentral:tRNA from 1 species